rnacentral:rRNA from 1 species
AGUGAACGCUGGCGGUAGGCCUAACACAUGCAAGUCGAACGGCAGCACAGUAAGAGCUUGCUCUUACGGGUGGCGAGUGGCGGACGGGUGAGGAAUACAUCGGAAUCUACUUUUUCGUGGGGGAUAACGUAGGGAAACUUACGCUAAUACCGCAUACGACCUACGGGUGAAAGCAGGGGAUCUUCGGACCUUGCGCGAUUGAAUGAGCCGAUGUCGGAUUAGCUAGUUGGCGGGGUAAAGGCCCGCCAAGGCGACGACCCGUAGCUGGUCUGAGAGGAUGAUCAGCCACACUGGAACUGAGACACGGUCCAGACUCCUACGGGAGGCAGCAGUGGGGAAUAUUGGACAAUGGGCGCAAGCCUGAUCCAGCCAUACCGCGUGGGUGAAGAAGGCCUUCGGGUUGUAAAGCCCUUUUGUUGGGAAAGAAAAGCAGCAGGUUAAUACCCCGCUGUUCUGACGGUACCCAAAGAAUAAGCACCGGCUAACUUCGUG